GAUGAACGCUGGCGGCGUGCCUAAUACAUGCAAGUCGAGCGAACGGACGAGAAGCUUGCUUCUCUGAUGUUAGCGGCGGACGGGUGAGUAACACGUGGAUAACCUACCUAUAAGACUGGAAUAACUGCGGGAAACCGGAGCUAAUACCGGAUAAUAUUUUGAACCGCAUGGUUCAAAAGUGAAAGACGGUCUUGCUGUCACUUAUAGAUGGAUCCGCGCUGCAUUAGCUAGUUGGUAAGGUAACGGCUUACCAAGGCAACGAUGCAUAGCCGACCUGAGCGGGUGAUCGGCCACACUGGAGCUGAGACACGGUCCAGACUCCUACGGGAGGCAGCAGUAGGGAAUCUUCCGCAGUGGGCGAAAGCCUGACGGAGCAACGCCGCGUGAGUGAUGAAGGUCUUCGGAUCGUAAAACUCUGUUAUUAGGGAAGAACAUAUGUGUAAGUAACUGUGCACAUCUUGACGGUACCUAAUCAGAAAGCCACGGCUAACUACGUG
rnacentral:rRNA from 1 species